CACAUGCAAGUCGAGCGGUAAGGCCCUUCGGGGUACACGAGCGGCGAACGGGUGAGUAACACGUGGGUGAUCUGCCUCGUACUCUGGGAUAAGCCUGGGAAACUGGGUCUAAUACCGGAUAUGACCACGUUUCGCAUGGGGUGUGGUGGAAAGAUUUAUCGGUGCGAGAUGGGCCCGCGGCCUAUCAGCUUGUUGGUGGGGUAACGGCCUACCAAGGCGACGACGGGUAGCCGACCUGAGAGGGUGAUCGGCCACACUGGGACUGAGACACGGCCCAGACUCCUACGGGAGGCAGCAGUGGGGAAUAUUGCACAAUGGGCGGAAGCCUGAUGCAGCGACGCCGCGUGCGGGAUGACGGCCUUCGGGUUGUAAACCGCUUUCGACAGGGACGAAGCGUGAGUGACGGUACCUGUAGAAGAAGCACCGGCCAACUACGUGCCAGCAGCCGCGGUAAUACGUAGGGUGCGAGCGUUGUCCGGAAUUACUGGGCGUAAAGAGCUUGUAGGCGGUCUGUCGCGUCGAUUGUGAAAUCUUGCAGCUCAACUGCAAGUCUGCAGUCGAUACGGGCAGACUAGAGUACUUCAGGGGAGACUGGAAUUCCUGGUGUAGCGGUGAAAUGCGCAGAUAUCAGGAGGAACACCGGUGGCGAAGGCGGGUCUCUGGGAAGUAACUGACGCUGAGAAGCGAAAGCGUGGGUAGCGAACAGGAUUAGAUACCCUGGUAGUCCACGCCGUAAACGGUGGGUACUAGGUGUGGGUUUCCUUCCACGGGAUCCGUGCCGUAGCUAACGCAUUAAGUACCCCGCCUGGGGAGUACG
rnacentral:rRNA from 1 species